rnacentral:rRNA from 1 species
AUUGAACGCUGGCGGCAGGCCUAACACAUGCAAGUCGAGCGGAUGAAGGGAGCUUGCUCCUGGAUUCAGCGGCGGACGGGUGAGUAAUGCCUAGGAAUCUGCCUGGUAGUGGGGGAUAACGUCCGGAAACGGGCGCUAAUACCGCAUACGUCCUGAGGGAGAAAGUGGGGGAUCUUCGGACCUCACGCUAUCAGAUGAGCCUAGGUCGGAUUAGCUAGUUGGUGGGGUAAAGGCCUACCAAGGCGACGAUCCGUAACUGGUCUGAGAGGAUGAUCAGUCACACUGGAACUGAGACACGGUCAAGACUCCUACGGGAGGAAGCAGUGGGGAAUAUUGGAAAAUGGGCGAAAGCCUGAUCCAGCCAUGCCGCGUGUGUGAAGAAGGUCUUCGGAUUGUAAAGCACUUUAAGUUGGGAGGAAGGGCAGUAAGUUAAUACCUUGCUGUUUUGACGUUACCAAAAGAAUAAGCACCGGCUAACUUCGUG